rnacentral:rRNA from 1 species
GAUGAACGCUAGCGGCAGGCUUAAUACAUGCAAGUCGAGGGACAGCACAGGUAGCAAUACUGGGUGGUAACCGGCAAACGGGUGCGGAACACGUACACAACCUUCCUUUAAGUGGGGGAUAGCCCAGAGAAAUUUGGAUUAAUACCCCGUAAUAUAGUUGAAUGGCAUCAUUUGAUUAUUAUAGCUACGGCGCUUAAUGAUGGGUGUGCGGCUGAUUAGAUAGUUGGCGGGGUAACGGCCCACCAAGUCUACGAUCAGUAGCUGAUGUGAGAGUAUGAUCAGCCACACGGGCACUGAGACACGGGCCCGACUCCUACGGGAGGCAGCAGUAAGGAAUAUUGGUCAAUGAACGCAAGUCUGAACCAGCCAUGCCGCGUUAAGGAUUAAGGUCCUCUGGAUUGUAAACUUCUUUUAUUUGGGACGAAAAAGGGCCUUUCUAGGUCAACUGACGGUACCAGAUGAAUAAGCACCGGCUAACUCCGUGCCAGCAGCCGCCGUAAGAC